AGUGAACGCUGGCGGUAGGCCUAACACAUGCAAGUCGAACGGCAGCACAGUAAGAGCUUGCUCUUACGGGUGGCGAGUGGCGGACGGGUGAGGAAUACAUCGGAAUCUACUUUUUCGUGGGGGAUAACGUAGGGAAACUUACGCUAAUACCGCAUACGACCUACGGGUGAAAGCAGGGGAUCUUCGGACCUUGCGCGAUUGAAUGAGCCGAUGUCGGAUUAGCUAGUUGGCGGGGUAAAGGCCCACCAAGGCGACGAUCCGUAGCUGGUCUGAGAGGAUGAUCCGCCCCACUGGAACUGAGACACGGUCCAGACCCCUACGGGGGGCAGCAGUGGGAAAUAUUGGACAAUGGGCGCAAGCCUGACCCACCCAAACCGCGUGGGUGAAGAAGGCCUUCGGGUUGUAAAGCCCUUUUGUUGGGAAAGAAAAGCAGCAGGUUAAUCCCCCGCUGUUCUGACGGUACCCAAAAAAAAAGCACCGGCUAACUUCGU
rnacentral:rRNA from 1 species